rnacentral:rRNA from 1 species
CCUACGGGUCGCACCAGUAGGGAAUCUUCCACAAUGGGCGAAAGCCUGAUGGAGCAACGCCGCGUGUGUGAUGAAGGCUUUCGGGUCGUAAAGCACUGUUGUAUGGGAAGAACAGCUAGAAUAGGGAAUGAUUUUAGUUUGACGGUACCAUACCAGAAAGGGACGGCUAAAUACGUGCCAGCAGCCGCGGUAAUACGUAUGUCCCGAGCGUUAUCCGGAUUUAUUGGGCGUAAAGCGAGCGCAGACGGUUGAUUAAGUCUGAUGUGAAAGCCCGGAGCUCAACUCCGGAAUGGCAUUGGAAACUGGUUAACUUGAGUGCAGUAGAGGUAAGUGGAACUCCAUGUGUAGCGGUGGAAUGCGUAGAUAUAUGGAAGAACACCAGUGGCGAAGGCGGCUUACUGGACUGUAACUGACGUUGAGGCUCGAAAGUGUGGGUAGCAAACAGGAUUAGAUACCCGAGUAGUC